UUUUUUGUCGUGUAGUGGUUAUCACAUCCGCCUAACCCACGGAAGGUCCCAGGUUCGAGCCUUGGCAGAAACA
rnacentral:tRNA from 1 species